rnacentral:rRNA from 1 species
UAAUAUAAUUCCUAGAACGUUAAUUCACCAGAUCCCAUUAGAAAUCUACAAUUAAACCCGCUUGGGCUAGCGUAGUAUUGGGAUGGGUGACCCCCCUGGGGAAGUCCUAGUGUUUUGUUGG